rnacentral:rRNA from 1 species
CGCCUUCCGAUCAAUAAAUAUGAAAGGUCCUGCCUGCCCAGUGAUAUUUUUCAACGGCCGCGGUAUUAUGACCGUGCAAAGGUAGCAUAAUCACUUGUCUUUUAAAUUAAGACCAGUAUGAAUGGCAAGACGAGAGCAUAACUGUCUCCUUAAGUUAGUCAAUGAAAUUAAUAUUCCCGUGCAGAAGCGGAGAUAAAAAUAUAAGACGAGAAGACCCUGUGGAGCUUAUAAAAAAAGCUAUAUAGACAUCUACAAUAGCCUAUAAUUUAGGUUGGGGCGACCAUGAGGUAAAAUAAAACCCUCAAGACAACAACUAGAAGGACACUUCAAACAAAAAGUAAUAUUUAUAAUGACCCAUUAAUGAGCAACGAACCAAGUUACCCCAGGGAUAACAGCGCAAUCCAUCUCCAGAGCCCAUAUCGACAAAUGGGUUUACGACCUCGAUGUUGGAUCAGGACCCCCUAAUGGUGCAACAACUAUUAAAGGUUCGUUUGUUCAACGAUUAAAGUCCU